rnacentral:rRNA from 1 species
GACGAACGCUGGCGGCGUGCUUAACACAUGCAAGUCGAACGGAAAGGCCAUGCUUUUGUUGGGUGCUCGAGUGGCGAACGGGUGCGUAACACGGGAGUAAGCUUCCCUAGACUGUGGGAUAACUUCGGGAAACUGGGGCUAAUACCGGAUAGUAGCGCCUGAUGCUUGUUGGUGGUUGGAAAGUUUCGGCGGGUUGGGACGGAAUCGCGGCUUGUCCGCCUGUUGGUGGGGUAGUGUCUUACCAAGGUUUUGACGGGUAGCCGGCCUGAGAGGGUGACCGGCCACAUUGGGACAGGGGUACGGCCCGGACGGCAACGGGGGGAAGGGGUGAGAAAUUUACCGCGAUGGGCGGAAGCAUGAUGGAGCGACGCCGGGUGGGAGAGGACGGUUGUAGGGUAGGAACCCGCUUUCGCGUGGAACGAAGAGUGUGUGACGGUAAUGGAUCAAGAAGCAACGGCUAACUACGUG